GAUGAAGAACGCAGCGAAAUGCGAUAAGUAAUGUGAAUUGCAGAAUUCAGUGAAUCAUCGAAUCUUUGAACGCACAUUGCGCCCUUUGGUAUUCCGAAGGGCAUGCCUGUUCGAGCGUCAUUACAACCCUCAAGCUCUGCUUGGUAUUGGGCACCGUCCUUUGCGGGCGCGCCUCAAAGACCUCGGCGGUGGCGUCUUGCCUCAAGCGUAGUAGAACAUACAUCUCGCUUCGGAGCGCAGGGCGUCGCCCGCCGGACGAACCUUCUGAACUUUUCUCAAGGUUGACCUCGGAUCAGGUAGGGAUACCCGCUGAACUUAAGCAUAUCAAUAAGCGGAGGA
rnacentral:misc_RNA from 1 species